rnacentral:rRNA from 1 species
UGGGGAAUCUUGCGCAAUGGGCGGAAGCCUGACGCAGCAACGCCGCGUGAGGGAUGACGGCCUUCGGGUUGUGAAAUCCUCUUUCAGCGAUCGACGAAGGCCCUCCUUGUUGGGGGUUGGACGGUAGGUCGAGAAGAAGCACCGGCCAACUACGUGCCAGCAGCCGCGGUAAUACGUAGGGUGCGAGCGUUGUCCGGAAUUAUUGGGCGUAAAGAGCUCGUAGGCGGUGUGUCACGUCGGCCGUGAAAAACCUGGGGCUUAACUCUGGGCGUGCGGUCGAUACGGGCAUCACUAGAGUUCGGCAGGGGAGACUGGAAUUCCUGGUGUAGCGGUGAAAUGCGCAGAUAUCAGGAGGAACACCGGUGGCGAAGGC